UCCUUCAUUUCAGGUGUUGCAGACAAGAUUUCAUUGUGGUGAGAUGUGGCUUCAGGUUGGGCUUCAGAUAUACUCUCAGGAGCAUUUGGUGCGUGUGAUAAUUUACGCUUCUUUGAGGGAAGGCCUGAUUUCUGUUUCUUUUGUGGAGCUGAUUUGUCUUUCUUCUUUAUUGUUGAAAUAAACUUUUGAAUAAGAAUACGAUGGCCCAGAGUGAACUCAAACGGCAUUGCUGUCAUGUCAUGCUUCUUGUUCAGAUCUUGUCUCAGGCAGAAAGUCUUGUCAUUCAUCUCAAUUAUAGCUUCUUUUGUAUCAAAACCUGUAACCUCAAAGCAGUUGCAUAUAUAUUCAAGCAGCAUUUGUUUCAUCUCAUGGAUGAUGUCUUCCUCUGAGUUUUCUAUGUUCUUUUCUGUACUGUAUAUGGGGCAGUUUAUAAUUUUUAAAGUAUCAAGGAGUAUCAAUUGAAGUACAAAUCAAGAGCUCGACAGUUUGGAUUCACCUCUAGUUUGGAAUCAAAUGGAAGAAGAUAAAGCUGUUGAAUUUAAUAUGUUACUGCUAGCUAUUAAUAUUGCAUAAACAUACCAGUUUUAAUUUAGCUUAAAUUAUAGUAGUUUUUCAAUUGAAA